rnacentral:rRNA from 1 species
AUUGAACGCUGGCGGCGUGCUUAACACAUGCAAGUCGAUCGGUAACGCGGGGGCAACCCUGGCGACGAGAGGCGGACGGGUGAGGAACGCUUGGGAAUCUGCCUAUCAGCGGGGGACAACACGGGGAAACUCGUGCUAAUACCGCAUACGCUCUACGGAGGAAAGCCGGGGACCGCAAGGCCUGGCACUGAUAGAUGAGCCCAAGCCGGAUUAGAUAGUUGGCGGGGUAACGGCCCACCAAGGCGACGAUCCGGAGCUGGUCUGAGAGGACGAUCAGCCACACUGGAACUGAGACACGGUCCAGACUCCUACGGGAGGCAGCAGUGGGGAAUAUUGGACAAUGGGGGAAACCCUGAUCCAGCGACGCCGCGUGGGUGAAGAAGGCCUGCGGGUUGUAAAGCCCUUUCGGUAGGGACGAAAGCUCUCGACCUAACACGUCGGGAGGUUGACUUAACCUACAGAAGAAGCACCGGCUAACUCUGUGCCAGCCGCCGCCGUAAAAC